rnacentral:rRNA from 1 species
AUGGCCUGCGCCUUCUUCUUCGACGCCGAGCCCGGCGUGCACGCGCUGGACGCGUGCGCGCUCUGCACCAAGCCGCUGGCGCGGGACAGCGACAUCUUCAUGUACAGAGUGGACACGCCCUUCUGCAGCGACGAGUGCCGCCACGAGCAGAUGCAGCUCGACGCCGCCUGCGCCAGGCAGGCCGCCGCCCGGAGGCAGAAGCAGUUCUCGUCGGGAACGGGGGUCCGGACGUGCGCACCGGGAGGCGUCCGUCGCGAGCUGACCGGCGAGAGCGGCAUGCUCCGUACGUGCUUGAGCCAACAAGAUCGGCGUGCACGAAGACGCCAUCGCCCGUGGCCAACUGAUCAGCGCGGGGUCGAGAAGACUCGCCUUGGUUGA